CACCCUGAAAGUAAGUCAGCGGAAGACACAGAGAACAAAUUUUCUUUUCAGCCCUGCCUGCCUCUCCAUCUCUUUCUCCAUUUCCAGGGUGUGGGGGAGACCCCCCCCCAUCCUAACGCAGGCUUUCUCGGCCUGGGCACUGCGACGUCCCUUGAUGAGGGGCGGUCCUCUGCGUGCGGGACCCUUGGCAGCAUCCUGGGCCUCUCCCAGUGUCUGGAGGCACCACACACAUCCUCUGAAGGGCGAAAUCACCCCCAGUUGAGAACCACUGUCUUCAAGGACGCAAGAGCACUUGGUAAAUGCUGUGCGGCGCGUGUGGAGAGAUCUCCCGUAUGACUUCAGACAGCUCGGUGGUUCGCUAUUCUUCCCCGUUUCCAGAUGGGGAAAUAGGGCCAGUUGUUUGAUGACCGCUUCGGGUCGCACUGCCCACGUGUCCCGGCCCAGCGUGCUCUGGCCACCACCAUCAUCACGUGAGGUCUCAUUCGUUCUGUCCACAGGAAAGGGUGUUGUCCCCAGGUCACCAGCUGAGGACGUCUCUGGGGGCCCCCUGGACUCAUCCCCGGGCUUGCUGGGACCUGUCCCCGCAGAUGCCGCUGGUGCGGAUCUCACCUGGACGAUGGGACAAGCGCGCGGUGCACACACAGCCUCCCUGAGAAGAGAAGAGUGUUAG
rnacentral:lncRNA from 1 species